GACGAACGCUGGCGGCGUGCUUAACACAUGCAAGUCGAACGGAAAGGCCCUGCUUUUGUGGGGUGCUCGAGUGGCGAACGGGUGAGUAACACGUGAGUAACCUGCCCUUGACUUUGGGAUAACUUCAGGAAACUGGGGCUAAUACCGGAUAGGAGCUCCUGCUGCAUGGUGGGGGUGGAAAGUUUCGGCGGUUGGGGAUGGGCUCGCGGCUUAUCAGCUUGUUGGUGGGGUAGUGGCUUACCAAGGCUUUGACGGGUAGCCGGCCUGAGAGGGUGACCGGCCACAUUGGGACUGAGAUACGGCCCAGACUCCUACGGGAGGCAGCAGUGGGGAAUAUUGCACAAUGGGCGGAAGCCUGAUGCAGCAACGCCGCGUGCGGGAUGACGGCCUUCGGGUUGUAAACCGCUUUCGCCUGUGACGAAGCGUGAGUGACGGUAAUGGGUAAAGAAGCACCGGCUAACUACGUG
rnacentral:rRNA from 1 species